rnacentral:tRNA from 1 species
AGGGUUGUAGUUUAAAUUUUAACAAAACAAUUAUUUUGCAUAUAAUAAAUAUUUAUAAUAAUUCUACCUU